rnacentral:lncRNA from 1 species
AGCAGCAGCUGCCCGAGGGGAUCGGCGGCGGGCUUACGACCAUUGGGGAUAAGAGGAGCCCCUGGAGCUUGGGGAGGGGUGAGGAGGCGAGAGGGGAGGUUGGUGGUUGCGAGGGAGGGCUCAGGACGAGCUUAAAUAGCCACGAGGAGGGCCUCUCGACAUUAGCUGGAGCUUCGGGACAGUGAUGACUUGGCCGCGCUCGGGUGGAGCACCUCCCAUCGGCACACCCGGCUAGGCGGAGCAGAGGAGCAAGCGACGUGAGCGAGCAAGCGAAGCUGGGAUGCGAGCUGAGGAGAGCCAAAGGGGACCAGACGGCGACUGUUGCCAGAGUUCACGCUGGCUACCGACCAAAGUCAUGGUCACCACCGGCACCACAUGUCCAAGACACUGGAUGUCUCUAGGACCUUGGCAAACAUGUUGCUCACUGGUCGUAGAGAUGACCCGUGGGAGUUUCUAUGGAAGUGGAGGCAAGAGUUGACUGAUUUGAGCUCACAAUGGUCCUGACAUGAAGGUGUUUGUCGUAGUUUGUGGCAAAUUGGCUAGGAGACAUAAGCUGAUUUUUGGCAUGAGGUUAUAAGAUGAUAAGGUGAGUCUAAAUAUGGAGUUUUAUUGCAAUCCAACAAGUGCAAAUAGCACUUCCUUUGAAAUGCAGCAACACGUCCACAAAUAGAGAUGAAUUUGCUAGGACAAAUUGGCUACAUGGAUUUGGCUCAAAUUUGGUGGAGAGUGAUUAUUUGAACAUAGGAAGAUACUGGAAAAGUUUCAGAUCAUUUUGAAAUGCCGAAGUGGUAUUUCCUUCAUAGAGGUUCUGAAUGGACAGAAAGUUGAAUAAUUUACUAAGGACGAUUGGCUACAGGGAAUGGGCUAAUUCUUUGUGUCCAAGAGUAAUAUCUCAUAGUGCAUUCACUCUGCAAACUUUCAGCCCAAGGAGAUCAAGGAAUCAAGCAACUCCUUUGCAAACACAAAAUCUGGAUAGAAUUUGCAAAGGGAUGUCGUGCUCAAAUUUGAACUAUGAAACUUGAUAUUUUGGUGGAAAUGAUGAAGAUAUGGAUAUGAGAAGCACCACAAAUUAUUUCGGAUUUUUCCUGGCUACCAAAAUGUUAGUUCCUUUAGAAAGUGCC